GACAGGGGUCUCGAGCGUUAAUCGGAAUUACUGGGCGUAAAGGGCGCGUAGGCGGCCUUCUAAGUCGAACGUGAAAUCCCCGGGCUCAACCCGGGAACUGCGUCCGAUACUGGAAGGCUUGAAUCCGGGAGAGGGAUGCGGAAUUCCAGGUGUAGCGGUGAAAUGCGUAGAUAUCUGGAGGAACACCGGUGGCGAAGGCGGCAUCCUGGACCGGCAUUGACGCUGAGGCGCGAAAGCCAGGGGAGCAAACGGG
rnacentral:rRNA from 1 species